CCCUGGUGAUUUGCUACUGCAUCGUCUACUGCUUCAACCACGACGCCGUCAUCUACUGCUUGAACCACGAUGUCGGUUCUUCGUCGGCCUCCACCACGCGCGCUGGCAUCCGUCCAUCUCCGGCCAUGGUGACCGCGGAUCUCCGACCAUGAUGGGGUAAGGAGUUGAAAGGCGCAGGUGGUCAGGCCUGCAAUGAGUGCGCCCUCCUGGUCUGCCGCCCUUGCUAUGAGUAUGAACAUGAGGAUGGCGUACAACAAGGAGUUGACGGCCUACUCAAGCGCCAAGGGAAGGCGGCAGGCUGGCAGCGCCACCAAGAGCCCAACACGAACCUCCAAUAUUGAGUCCUACCUGUAAUUCACGGAUAAGGUUGGUUGUGCCCCUCUGCUGGAGGAUCUCAGUCCAACUACUCUGGAUGCAUCUAUGACAUGGUGGACAAGGCAGUAGAAGCAUGUGACAUGGCAGCCAAGGGAGUUGUUUUGUGGGAUGAAGUGUUCGUAAAGACAACAAGCCCC